rnacentral:rRNA from 1 species
AGUUCGGAUUGAAGGCUGAAAUUCGCCUUCAUGAAGUCGGAAUUGCUAGUAAUGGCAGGUCAGCAUACUGCCGUGAAUACGUUCCCGGGCCUUGUACACACCGCCCGUCACACCAUGAGAGUUGGAGAUACCCGAAGCCUAUGAGCUAACUUUUAGAGGCAGUAGUCGAAGGUAGAAUCAAUGAUUGGGGUGAAGUCGUAACAAGGUACC